rnacentral:rRNA from 1 species
UGCUCGUUCAGGGUUUCCCCCAUUGACGAAAAUUCCUCACUGCUGCCUGCCGUAGGAGUACUCCUACGGGAGGCAGCAGUGAGGAAUAUUGGACAAUGGGCAAAAGCCUGAUCCAGCAAUGUCACGUGAGUGAUGAAGCCGAUUUUUGGUGUAAAGCUCUUUUAAUAAAGAUGAUAAUGACAGUAUUUAUAGAAAAAGUCCCGGCUAACUCUGUGCCAGCAGCCGCGGUAAUACAGAGGGGACUAGUAUUAUUCGAAAUGACUGGGCGUAAAAAGUAUGUAGGUGGUUUAUUAUGUUGAAAAUUAAAGACCAAAAUCUUUAUUUUGGGGAGAAUUUCAAAACGAAUAAACUUGAGUUUAAUAGAGGAUAGCGUAAUUUUUGGUGUAGAAAUAAAAUUCAUAAAUAUCAAAAGGAAGACCAUUUGGCGAAGGCUGCUAUCUAAUUUAACUAACUGACACUCAAAUACGAAAGCAUGGGGAGCAAACGGGAUUAGAGACCCCAGUAGUCCAUGCUGUAAAUUAUGAAUGUUAAAUAUUGGAUUUAUUCAGUAUUGUAGCUCACGCAUUAAACAUUCUGCCUGGAAAAUACGGCCGCAAGGUUAAAACUUAAAGGAAUUGACG